UACGUAGGGUCCGAGCGUUGUCCGGAAUUAUUGGGCGUAAAGGGCUCGUAGGCGGUCCGUCACGUCGGGAGUGAAAACUCAGGGCUCAACCCUGAGCGUGCUUCCGAUACGGGCGGACUAGAGGUAUGCAGGGGAGAACGGAAUUCCAGGUGUAGCGGUGAAAUGCGUAGAUAUCUGGAGGAAUACCGGUGGCGAAGGCGGCAUCCUGGACCGGCAUUGACGCUGAGGAGCGAAAGCUAGGGGAGCAAACGGG
rnacentral:rRNA from 1 species